GACGGAGGAUGCAAGUGUUAUCCGGAAUCACUGGGCGUAAAGCGUCUGUAGGUGGUUUAAUAAGUCAACUGUUAAAUCUUGAGGCUCAACUUCAAAAUCGCAGUCGAAACUAUUAGACUAGAGUAUAGUAGGGGUAAAGGGAAUUUCCAGUGGAGCGGUGAAAUGCGUAGAGAUUGGAAAGAACACCAACGGCAGAAGCACUCUGCUGGGCCGACACUGACACUGAGAGACGAAAAGCUAGGGGAGCGAAUGGG
rnacentral:rRNA from 1 species